UAGUAACGGGCGAGUGAAGCGGUAACAGCUCAAAUUUGAAAUCUGGCUCUUGCGGAGUCCGAGUUGUAAUUUGUAGAAGAUGCUUUGGGUUGUGGGUUCGGCCUAAGUUCCUUGGAACAGGACGUCAUAGAGGGUGAGAAUCCCGUAUGUGGCCGAGGCCCGCGCCUAUGUAAAGCUCUUUCAACGAGUCGAGUUGUUUGGGAAUGCAGCUCAAAAUGGGUGGUAAAUUUCAUCUAAAGCUAAAUAUGGGCCAGAGACCGAUAGCGCACAAGUAGAGUGAUCGAAAGAUGAAAAGCACUUUGGAAAGAGAGUUAAACAGUACGUGAAAUUGUUGAAAGGGAAGCGCUUGCAACCAGACUUGGGCGCUGCCGAUCACCUUGAGUUUUCUCGAGUGCACUCGACAGCGCACAGGCCAGCAUCGGUUCGGGUGGCUGGAUAAAGGCCGUAGGAAUGUGGCUCUCUUCGGGGAGUGUUAUAGCCUACGGUGCCAUGCAGCCCAGCCGGACCGAGGACCGCGCCUUCGGGCUAGGAUGCUGGCGUAAUGGUUGUAAGCGACCCGUCUUGAAACACGGACCAAGGAGUCUAACAUCUAUGCGAGUGUUUGGGUGGUAAACCCAUACGCGGAAUGAAAGUGAACGUAGGUGAGAACCCCUUUGGGGCGCAUCAUCGACCGAUCCUGAUGUCUUCGGAUGGAUUUGAGUAAGAGCAUAGCUGUUGGGACCCGAAAGAUGGUGAACUAUGCCUGAAUAGGGUGAAGCCAGAGGAAACUCUGGUGGAGGCUCGCAGCGGUUCUGACGUGCAAAUCGAUCGUCAAAUUUGGGCAUAGGGGCGAAAGACUAAUCGAACCAUCUAGUAGCUGGUUCCUGCCGAAGUUUCCCUCAGGAUAGCAA
rnacentral:rRNA from 1 species